UUGGAGGGCAAGUUGGUCAGGAGAAUAUCUAUGAGGGUGCCCGUGUUUACGGAUUUAGUGUUGUACCUGGUGGGUUCCUUGGUGAUUUGUUUGCGAUUAAGGGCAUCUAUCUUAAAUUGGGGCUAGCAACAGUAGAUGGUCCAGGGUGUACAUGCACAUUUCCAGAUAUCAUCAGCAGUAAUACAAUCAAGGCACGGCAGAGGACAGGGAGAGCUCUGCAGUGCUGAUUUAUGCAUUAGAUGGCAACAAGAUCGAAACUUUGUCGGGAGCUGAGGUGGGCUGUUCUGCUGUGGUGUCGAGACUUUGUCGGGAGCUGAGGUGGGCUGUUCUGCUGUGGUGUCGAGACUUUGUCGGGAGCUGAGGUGGGCUGUUCUGCUGUGGUGUCGAGACUUUGUCGGGAGCUGAGGUGGGCUGUUCUGCUGUGGUGUCGAGACUUUGUCGGGAGCUGAGGUGGGCUGUUCUGCUGUGGUGUCGAGACUUUGUCGGGAGCUGAGGUGGGCUGUUCUGCUGUGGUGUCGAGACUUUGUCGGGAGCUGAGGUGGGCUGUUCUGCUGUGGUGUCGAGACUUUGUCGGGAGCUGAGGUGGGCUGUUCUGCUGUGGUGUCGAGACUUUGUCGGGAGCUGAGGUGGGCUGUUCUGCUGUGGUGUCGAGACUUUGUCGGGAGCUGAGGUGGGCUGUUCUGCUGUGGUGUCGAGACUUUGUCGGGAGCUGAGGUGGGCUGUUCUGCUGUGGUGUCGAGACUUUGUCGGGAGCUGAGGUGGGCUGUUCUGCUGUGGUGUCGAGACUUUGUCGGGAGCUGAGGUGGGCUGUUCUGCUGUGGUGUCGAGACUUUGUCGGGAGCUGAGGUGGGCUGUUCUGCUGUGGUGUCGAGACUUUGUCGGGAGCUGAGGUGGGCUGUUCUGCUGUGGUGUCGAGACUUUGUCGGGAGCUGAGGUGGGCUGUUCUGCUGUGGUGUCGAGACUUUGUCGGGAGCUGAGGUGGGCUGUUCUGCUGUGGUGUCGAGACUUUGUCGGGAGCUGAGGUGGGCUGUUCUGCUGUGGUGUCGAGACUUUGUCGGGAGCUGAGGUGGGCUGUUCUGCUGUGGUGUCGAGACUUUGUCGGGAGCUGAGGUGGGCUGUUCUGCUGUGGUGUCGAGACUUUGUCGGGAGCUGAGGUGGGCUGUUCUGCUGUGGUGUCGAGACUUUGUCGGGAGCUGAGGUGGGCUGUUCUGCUGUGGUGUCGAGACUUUGUCGGGAGCUGAGGUGGGCUGUUCUGCUGUGGUGUCGAGACUUUGUCGGGAGCUGAGGUGGGCUGUUCUGCUGUGGUGUCGAGACUUUGUCGGGAGCUGAGGUGGGCUGUUCUGCUGUGGUGUCGAGACUUUGUCGGGAGCUGAGGUGGGCUGUUCUGCUGUGGUGUCGAGACUUUGUCGGGAGCUGAGGUGGGCUGUUCUGCUGUGGUGUCGAGACUUUGUCGGGAGCUGAGGUGGGCUGUUCUGCUGUGGUGUCGAGACUUAGUCGGGAGCUGAGGUGGGCUGUCCUGCGUGGGUGGCCACCUCUCUAGUGGGUUGUUCUGUCACACGCCAUCCCCCUCAAACUCUCCUCCAGCAGUCUGAUCUACUCCUCUAGUGCUCUGUUGCCUCACCACAGUCCAGAGUGCAGAUAUGUCUCUCUCCACCUCCAGCACUCUGGGUCUGGCUAAGAGGGUGUUGUUGUGCUGGACUGUUGUCUGGGUCUGGCUAAGAGGGUGUUGUUGUGCUGGACUGUUGUCUGGGUCUGGCUAAGAGGGUGUUGUU